UACGGAGGAUGCAAGCGUUAUCCGGAAUUAUUGGGCGUAAAGCGUCCGCAGGUGGCUGUGUAAGUCUGCUGUCAAAGAGCAAAGCUCAACUUUGUAAAGGCAGUGGAAACUACACGGCUAGAGUGCGUUCGGGGCAGAGGGAAUUCCUGGUGUAGCGGUGAAAUGCGUAGAGAUCAGGAAGAACACCGGUGGCGAAGGCGCUCUGCUAGGCCGCAACUGACACUGAGGGACGAAAGCUAGGGGAGCGAAUGGG
rnacentral:rRNA from 1 species